CGACAUUUCAUACCAAAACCAAAAUGUCGCAGAUGAAUUUGAACCAUGCAUUUAUAGACACAGUAAUUACCUACGUAACGUUCCUUGUAAGUAGGUCUGUUAUCAACAUUUUCUAGUGAAGGUCGUGGUCUUAUUAGGCUUUUGUAAUGUUAGAAAAAAUCUUUCUCUUUUUACCGUACUAACAUCGUCACGUUUAACUGGUUAGCUUGCAGAAAAAAAUUUAACAAAUGAUAUUUCAGUUUUUAUUUUAUGUUCUGAUAAAAUUGUCCAUACAGAUUAUACAGGUAUUGUAAAUUAAUCGCGAAAAAGCAAUAUAUCAAAAGCAAUUAAUCAAAAGUGAUGAAGCACACACACACAUUUAUUUAUCAGCUUAAUUGUAUCGGAAAAGGUGAAUACAAACAUUACUAAAUAUUUCAAAUAAAAAAAACCCCAAAACACAACAGUUAAAAUUAUGUUGGUAAUAUGUAAAAGUUCCCCCGUAGGUAAUUGAUAAAAAAGCAAUGCAAUCAUGCCAAUAUUUACAUCUAUAAUGCAAAUUAUUUAUCGACAUUUAUUUAUUAAAAUCACUCGAACGUUAUAUCCAGAAGAAUGGUUGAUGCUUUACUUUCUUAAUGACUUUUCAUUGAGUUUGAGUGUAAACUAAUGACGUCACUCUUUUGCAAAAUGACUUGUUAGUUGCGUUUCAAUUUUGUUUUUCUUCUAAAAUUGUUGCAUUGUGAGGUUCUGCUUUACUAUACAUGUGACCGAUAAUUUGUUUUUAUUACUCAUUAUUGUAAAUAAAGCAAAUUAAUGACGUCGCCUCGUUAAACAUAUUCUACUUUGUACAUGCUGCAAUGUGUUAUUAAUCAAUAUCAACAAUGAGUUAGGUUUUGUUAUCUGUUAUAUGUAAUAAUUUUAGUUAUCGAUGUUUUGCCCUUUGCUAAAGAAUUCCCAGAGAUUGAGAAACAAAAUGUUAGUUUAACACUCUCAGUGCUUUCAAUUCAAACCUUAACAAAAUUGUAAUUCAUGAAAUUAUGAUUAUUAAAAACAGUAUGAUUU
rnacentral:sRNA from 1 species